CUACGGGCGGCAGCAGUGAGGAAUAUUGCACAAUGGGGGGAACCCUGAUGCAGCAACGCCGCGUGGAGGAUGACGCAUUUCGGUGUGUAAACUCCUUUUAUAUGUCAAGAAAAUGACGGUAGCAUACGAAUAAGCACCGGCUAACUCCGUGCCAGCAGCCGCGGUAAUACGGAGGGUGCAAGCGUUACUCGGAAUCAAUGGGCGUAAAGGGCGCGUAGGCGGGGUGGAAAGUCAGGUGUGAAAUCCUACAGCUUAACUGUAGAACUGCACUUGAAACUUCUAAUCUAGAGUAUGGGAGGGGGAGAUGGAAUUAGUGGUGUAGGGGUAAAAGCCGUAGAUAUCACUAGGAAUACCUAAAGCGAAGGCGAUCUCCUGGAACAUUACUGACGCUAAGGCGUGAAAGCGUGGGGAGCAAACAGGAUUAGAUACCCCAGUAGUC
rnacentral:rRNA from 1 species